CAGCAGCCGCGGUAAUGCAGAGGAUGCAAGCGUUAUCCGGAAUGGUUGGGCGUAAAGCGUCUGUAGGUGGCUUUUCAAGUCCGCCGUCAAAUCCCAGGGCUCAACCCUGGACAGGCGGUGGAAACUACCAAGCUGGAGUACGGUAGGGGCAGAGGGAAUUUCCGGUGGAGCGGUGAAACGCAUAGAUAUGUCACAGAACGCCAAUUGCGAAGGCAGCUUACUAUGGUUUUAUUGACACUGAGGCACGAAAGCGUGGGGAUCAAACAGGAUUAGAUACCCCCGUAGUCCCUGUCUCUUAUAC
rnacentral:rRNA from 1 species